rnacentral:tRNA from 1 species
AAAACCAUGACGUGGAGCCGUUACGGCCAGUUGCUGAGCUUCACCGACUGUUCCGGCUACCAGACCCGUUAUGACC